rnacentral:rRNA from 1 species
UCAAGCAAUUAAGGGCAUACGGUGGAUGCCUUGGCACUGGUUGGCGAAGAAGGUCGUGGCAAGCUGCGAUAAGCCCCGGGUAGGAGCAAGCAUCCAUUGAUCCGGGGAUAACCGAAUCGGAAAACCGUCUACGGGCGAACCCGUAGAAUCCGUUACUGAAUAAAUAGGUAGCGGAGGCAAUACCAGGGGAAUUGAAACAUCUUAGUACCCUGAGGAAAAGAAAUCAAAAGAGAUUCCCUGAGUAGUGGCGAGCGAAAGGGGAAGAGCCCAAACCGAUCUAUACGUUACAGGCUGGAGCCGCUGUAGGAUCGGUGUUGUAGGUUGUAAACGGAGAGUUCUCCAGGAUUCUCGGGAAGUUACAAAAUCUCAUGUUAGCUGAACCCGCUGGAAAGAGGGCCAAAGAGCGUGAUAGCCGCGUAGGCGAAAACAUAGAGAUCUUCCUGGUUUACAUACCUGAGUAGGGCGGGGCACGUGAAACCCUGUUCGAAUCCGGGAAGACCACUUUCCAAGGCUAAAUACACACCAGUGACCGAUAGUGAACAAGUACCGUGAGGGAAAGGUGAAAAGAACCCCGGGAGGGGAGUGAAAUAGAUCCUGAAACCGUAUGCUUACAAGGUAUUGGAGGGCUAUGAUUCAUGCCUGACAGUGUGCCUUUUGUAGAAUGAGCCGGCGAGUUACUCUAUACAGCGAGGUUAAGCAAUAGGAAUUGCGCAGCCGUAGCGAAAGCGAGUCUUAAAUGGGCGAUUAGUUGUAUGGAGUAGACCCGAAACCGAGUGAUCUAGUUAUGGCCAGGUUGAAGCGUGGGUAAGACCACGUGGAGGACCGAACCGGUAAAUGUUGAAAAAUUUUCGGAUGAGCUGUGACUAGGGGUGAAAGACUAAACAAACUCGGCAAUAGCUGGUUCUCCUCGAAAUAGCUUUAGGGCUAGCCUCAUAUGUUUUGUUGCGGGGGUAGAGCUCUGAUUGGGCUAGGGGGUCCACAAACUUACCAAACCCACUCAAACUACGAAUACCGUAACUUUAGAAUAUGGGAGUCAGACUACGGGAGAUAAGUUCCGUGGUCAAAAGGGAAACAGCCCAGACCAACAGCUAAGGUCCCCAAGUAUAUGCUAAGUGAUAAAGGAAGUGAAGUCGCACAGACACCCAGGAGGUUGGCUUAGAAGCAGCCACCCUUCAAAGAGUGCGUAAUAGCUCACUGGUCGAGUGACUUCGCGCCGAAAAUAAUUGGGACUAAGCAUAUCACCGAAGCUUUGGAUUUGUAGCAAUACAAGUGGUAGAGGAGCAUUCUGUACGGGCUGAAGGUAGACCGCGAGGACUGCUGGACUGUACAGAAGAGAGAAUGCCGGCAUGAGUAACGAUAAAAGGGGUAAAAAACCCCUUCGCCGAAAGCCUAAGGUUUUCUGGGCAAUGUUAAUCAUCUCAGAGUUAGUCGGCCCCUAAGGCGAGGCCUAGCGGCGUAGUCGAUGGGAAGCAGGUUCAUAUUCCUGCACCACCUGGUGGAGGUUAUCGUGAUGGAGUGACGCAGAAGGAUAUAUGCGCAGGGCGUUGGUUGUCCCUGUCCCUAUUCGUAGGCUUGGGUCCCAGGAAAAUCCGGGAUCCUUAUGGCUGAGGAUGUGGGGGAGUUAGUCUUUUAGACGAGCGAAGGUGUAGGUUCCAGGCUGCCAGGAAAAACUUCUAAACGCGAAACCGGGUGACCGUACCGCAAACCGACACAGGUAGGCGGGAUGAAAAUUCUAAGGCGCUCGAGAGAACCCUCGUUAAGGAACUCGGCAAAAUAGUCCCGUAACUUAGGGAAAAGGGACGCCUCAUUAGUGUGAAGCUGAACAGGCAGAGCAUGAAGAGGCCGCAGAUAAAUGGCCCAAGCGACUGUUUACCAAAAACACAGGACUCUGCAAACUCGUAAGAGAAAGUAUAGGGUCUGACACCUGCCCGGUGCCGGAAGGUUAAGAGGAAGUGUUAGCGAAUUAACAUUUGCGAAGCUCUGAAUUGAAGCCCCGGUAAACGGCGGCCGUAACUAUGACGGUCCUAAGGUAGCGAAAUUCCUUGUCGGGUAAGUUC